UCAUUUCUAACAUCCCAUUUAAAAAAACCCAAAGAAAAAAUGCUCUGAAACUCUCUCCAUCCUCUGGCCUGAACAACGGUGACGAUUGCCGGCCACCACUGCACGCGCCUCACGCACCACCGUACGCGGUGGUCGGAGGUUCAAAAUUCCUCUUCUUUUCAAGCGAAUCACAGAUCUGUGGUGCAAUCUCUGGUGACGGAACCGGCGUUGAUUCAGGUUUCCUGGAAUCACGGCGUAACUCGGGGCUGCUGGAACGGCGUGCGUUGAAAGGGCGAGACGCUUGGAAUGGCUCGAAGCUUCCAGAACUCCAUUGCGGCUCUAGGGUUUCUUAACCCUAUCUGAAACUCAUUUGGGCUCCUUGCUGUUUGGGCCUUAGGGUUUAAAUGGGUCUAUUUUGUAAUUGUAAUGGGUCAAGGGUGUAAAUGGGUUAAUGUUUGGGCUACUGCAAUCGGGUUAGGGUAACGGGUUAGUUUAGGGUUUAUUGGAUUUGUGUAUUUGGGCCUGGGCAUUGUAAUCUGGACUGUUAAAUAAACAUUUAUUUAUUUUUUAA